AUACCAUUGGAUAAGUGCGCUGUCAAUCACUGCUUGAUUUGCGAUGCGGAAUCACAGCACCAUGCUUUUCAAACAGGAGGAGAGACGACUCGACCAUAGACCACGUCUCUGUUCAUGAUAACAGCAAAAGUAGUGAGUGAUGUAACCUACCUACAGCAGAAGGCUACUGAAUCUUCGAUUCAUUGCCCUAGACAUACCCAGUGAUGAAGGCUCCCACCAAACCUUUGAGAGAGAAGAGGACCAGUAUCUGUCUCUGAGCAGGCUUCGCAACAGAAUGGUUCAGAUUCCAAAGGUGACAGUGACAGAGAGCACCGUCCAGUUAACCCACAUGAACAGAC